GAUGCAGCCAUGCCGCGUGUGUGAAGAAGGCCUUCGGGUUGUAAAGCACUUUCAGCGGGGAGGAAGGCGUUAAGGUUAAUAACCUUGGCGAUUGACGUUACCCGCAGAAGAAGCACCGGCUAACUCCGUGCCAGCAGCCGCGGUAAUACGGAGGGUGCAAGCGUUAAUCGGAAUUACUGGGCGUAAAGCGCACGCAGGCGGUCUGUCAAGUCGGAUGUGAAAUCCCCGGGCUUAACCUGGGAACUGCAUUCGAAACUGGCAGGCUAGAGUCUUGUAGAGGGGGGUAGAAUUCCAGGU
rnacentral:rRNA from 1 species